UACCUUUUGUUCAACGAUGAAGGGAUCUGAGACUUGUAAUACUGUUUAGUGAUUUGAUAAUAUUCCUUGUUCCUUUGAUGGUUCAUUCCACUACAGCUGGUUCAUAUACCCUACAAUAGCCAGGAUAUUGGUCUGCUUACUUUAAGAUCUCAAGAAAAUGUAACAUAUUUUGGAUGUGCUUUGAGGAAUCAGGAAGGCAAGUGUUUCCUCUUGUUUAUGAAAGCAACUCAUUUGGUUAAGGGGAAGACAACUUGUGAGCAUGGUACAUCACUACCUGUAUUGGUAUUCCAUUUUGACAAUGCUGCUAGCUAGAAUAGAAAUAACAUCUUGCUGUGGUAUGGUCUGUGGAGAGUUUU
rnacentral:lncRNA from 1 species